UAACAAGGAUUCCCCUAGUAACUGCGAGUGAAGCGGGAAAAGCUCAAAUUUAAAAUCUGGCAGUUUCACUGUCCGAGUUGUAAUCUGGAGAAGCAUUUUCUGUGUCAGACCGUGUACAAGUCUCUUGGAAUAGAGCGUCAUAGAGGGUGAGAAUCCCGUCCAUGACACGGAUUACUGAUGCUUUGUGAUAUGCUCUCGAAGAGUCGAGUUGUUUGGGAAUGCAGCUCAAAAUGGGUGGUAAAUUCCAUCUAAAGCUAAAUAUUGGCGAGAGACCGAUAGCGAACAAGUACCGUGAGGGAAAGAUGAAAAGCACUUUGGAAAGAGAGUUAAACAGUACGUGAAAUUGUUGAAAGGGAAACGCUUGAAGUCAGUCGCGUUGUCUGAGACUCAGCCUUGCUUGCAUGGUGUACUUCUCAGUUAACGGGUCAACAUCAAUUUCAGUUGGUGGAUAAAGGCAUUGGGAAUGUGGCACCUUCGGGUGUGUUAUAGCCCUUUGUUGCAUACACUGACCGGGAUUGAGGAACGCAGCACGCCACUAAGGCCAGGGGUUCGCCCCAUGUAACGUGCUUAGGAUGUUGGCAUAAUGGCUUUAAGCGACCCGUCUUGAAACACGGACCAAGGAGUCUAACAUGCCUGCGAGUAUUAGGGUGGAAAACCCUUGUGCGUAAUGAAAGUGAAAGUUGGGACCUCUUGCGAGGGCACCGACGCCCGGCCCUGAAGUUUACUGACGGCGCUGCGGUAGAGCAUGUAUGUUGGGACCCGAAAGAUGGUGAACUAUGCCUGAAUAGGGUGAAGCCAGGGGAAACUCUGGUGGAGGCUCGUAGCGAUUCUGACGUGCAAAUCGAUCGUCAAAUUUGGG
rnacentral:rRNA from 1 species